AGCACAGCGUGUCACCAGAGAGGAAAAGAAUAUCCUUGCUGUGCCAAGAAAGAAAAGACCAUGGAUCUACUAGUUGCAGAUUUCAGCAGUAAUGCCAAGGGGGCAAGAAGUGACCAGCAGAACAAUUAGGCCAUGGCAACAGAAGCCAACUACAACCCAUGUUCCAAUCUAUGACCUCCCUCUCCUGCUGGUACAAGGAUAUGGGCAAGAGCUGAUAAUCAACUGACUAAUGAGGAUUGACUUCUACAAUUGAUGAGCAUGGAAUUGGAUGUGCCUAAAUCAACAGAAGAGGGAUUUUGAUGUCAUCACACUGUAGCCCCAGAAGACAGAACGCUCAAAGGUGUCAAUGGGCAGAAUUUGUAGAUGACAUACAGCAUCCAAUGGAUUACUCCUAUUCAGAUUGUUGUUUUGUUUGCUAGACAUGAUUUUAGGAUUUUGUCAAGGAAGCCAUCUAUGACCCCAAUCAAUCAAAACCAUAAGGAUCAAGGCUGGAAGAACCUAUUCCUUAGAGCAAAGGAUGCAAUGUCAAGCAAGUUGUGAUACCUCAACUAUCUACAAUUUAACACCAAGGAAAGAACACUGUUUGGAGAAAUGAGAAAGAUUAUCAUCAGUGUCUUUCAGAAGUCAUCAAAAGAAGAAAAGGAGAAAAGAGAGGAGAAAGCAGAAAGAUCUGGAGUCUGGGAAGUUCAAGAGCAUGGCACCAACAUCUGGCAAGGGCUUUCAUUCUGCAUCAUCUCAUGGAGGAAAAUAAAAAGGAGGCUGGAUGCUCCUGUGAAGUACGUCUUUUAUCUACUUGCUAUCUUUGCAAUUCCUUCAUGCUACAAUGAGAGAUAGAGUUUAAACCUGAAAACAUUCUUGGAAAAGGAAUCUUCAUUAAUUCAAAUAUACCACAAGGUUCUGCCACUGUGGCCAUCACCUGGGAUUGGAGAAAGGCAAAUGGAACAGACCAACUCAGAAUUACAGUCCUCAUUUAUUUCAUCAGAGGUUGGCCUGUACUUACAUUAGCCCUUUCUGGCUAGAGCUUCAUGUCUCACCCACUGUCUGUUCACUUCUGACCUGAAACAAUGGGACUGCAGAAGAGAGAAGGAAAAUAUCUGGUGGUCAGGCUAACUCUGUGUACCCCAUGAUGAAGAUGUUUUCCAUAGGAGUUCAUUGUCACAGGUGAAAUUUAGGAGCUGUAGCCAAAGAUUUCUUAAGCCUUUCUUUCAAUCAGUGUGCCACAGCUAUUUGAUAUGUCAGUCUCAGCAGCUGAGUUCUGGGAAGAUUCAUCCUCUUCAUGAGCAAAGGGAGAAUGGAAAGGGGAACUGUCCAACCCAAAGAGGGGAAAAUAAAGGAGAGAGGGAUAUAA
rnacentral:lncRNA from 1 species